AUACAAAUCGGCCUUUCUCUUGCUAAACUGUCUUUGUCCGUUUCACCUGCAGGCCUCCAGAGAACGUGAGAGGGUAGAAGGGUGCACAUGUCGUUACUACUACCGGUAAGGAAAGCAGAGAUGGGGUUCGACUCUUGCUAACGCUGCAUUUGACGACGAAGUGCACGGAUGGGCCGACGAGAAGGUCCAGGCGCCUGACUGAAGUUUGGUCCAAGAGCCCUGGAUAACGGAC